rnacentral:rRNA from 1 species
GUGGGGGAUAUUGCACAAUGGGGGGAACCCUGAUGCAGCGACGCCGCGUGAGUGAAGAAGUAUUUCGGUAUGUAAAGCUCUAUCAGCAGGGAAGAAAGACCCUUCGGGGGGAUGACGGUACCUGACUAAGAAGCCCCGGCUAACUACGUGCCAGCAGCCGCGGUAAUACGUAGGGGGCAAGCGUUAUCCGGAUUUACUGGGUGUAAAGGGAGCGUAGACGGAACAGCAAGUCUGAUGUGAAAUCCCACGGCUCAACCGUGGAACUGCAUUGGAAACUGUUGAUCUUGAGUACCGGAGGGGUGAGCGGAAUUCCUGGUGUAGCGGUGAAAUGCGCAGAUAUCAGGAAGAACACCGGCGGCGAAGGCGGCUCACUGGACGGUAACUGACGUUGAGGCUCGAAAGCGUGGGGAGCAAACAGGAUUAGAAACCCUAGUAGUCC